rnacentral:lncRNA from 1 species
AUAAUAAAGGAUUUGUACAUUUAAUAUACAUAUUUCUAGGUCCUUGAGGAAGUUAGAAACUAGAAGAGCAGGCAGUGGGGGACAAAUACACAUGGAAGUUGGAGUUGCUCUUGAGUAAAUGCCCAAACCAACAAUGGAAUCAGGAAAUUGGAUAUUAGGACCAAUGUCAGGGCGUGAAGUUAAUUCUGACACUUCUGAUAUAAGCUGGAAUCCUCCAAGGGAUCCAUAGUACCUUUAGAGACAAAUAUUUUUGGAAGAAAGCAUUCUGAUUAUAGUUUUUUAGAAUCCAUGAAAUAAACUUAACUAAAUAUAAAUGUAGAUUUUAAAAAUAAUUUUUUAAAACUUAAUAAAACAAUUCACCAUAUGUGAGAGUCAACAAAAUCAGCAAAAAAAUUAGAUCUAUAUACUUCGUAUGUUGGAAUUAUUAGAUUAAAAAUAUAAAGUAACUAUGUAUGAAAUGUUUAAGAAGUGAAAUAUAUGUGUGUAUGUGUGUGUGUAUGUAUAUGUGUAUAAGUAUGUAUGUGUAUCAGUAUGUAUAGCUAGGAAUGAGAGAAUCAAAAAGGCAGGUAAGAAUUCCUGGGCCAAGACCCAGGUGAAACAUGAAGCUAAGAAAAAUGGAAAAAGAUAGAAGAUGCAAAUAACAACCAAGAGAAAGCUGAUAUAGCUAUCAGAAAGUAUUACUGGUAGCAAAGAAAGACAAUCAUAAUUCAAGAAGAUGUAACAAUAAUUUGAAUAAACCUCCAAAUAUGCAUGAUCUCAAAAUAUUAGAGAUGGAAGGUCAACAAACAUUAACAGAAUUAAAGUGGAAAAAAGACAAGUUCAGAGUGAUAAUGGGAGAUAAUUUUAGCACAAGCCAUUCAAUAAUUAACAGAACAACCAGAGAACAUUUAAGUGAAAAAUUAAAAUUUGAAAUACUUAUUAAUAGACACACGCAUACAACUCCACUCAACAACUAUACUAUACAGUUUUCAAGGACAAAUGAAGCGGUUAAAACCUGUGUCAUAUGCUGCCUCACAAAUCACAUCUCAACAAAUUUCGAAGAAUCAAAAUGAUACAAGCUGGACUCUCCAAUCACAGUAUAAUUUAAGCCAGAAAUCUUGGACAAAUCUAUUUAGAAAAUCCCCAUGUGUUGAAAGCUAAGAAAUAUAUUUCUAAGUUGCCCCUGGUCGUGGAGGGAAUCACAAUGGCAAAGAGAAAAUAUUUUUAAUUGAAUGUAAAGUAAAAUGCUAGUUUCGAAACUCACAGGCUUUGUUAAAGUAUGCUUAGAGGGAAACAUGCAUCCUUAAAAAUGCAUAUGCUAAAGAAGAUGAAAAACUGAAACUCCAUCAUCUAAGUCUCAGUUUAAUAACUUAGAAGGAGAACAGCAAAUUAAACCUAACAAAUAUAGAAUACAGGAAAUAUUAUAAGGCCAUAAAUAAAGAAAUACAAAAAGAUUAAUAAAAUGGAUACAUAUUUGAUAAGACUGGGUAAGAAUGAAAAGAAAGAAGACAAAAAUAACGAACAACAGAAAUCAAAAAAGAAAACAUAAGUUUUUGAAAAUAUAAUAAGAAUUUGGUUAAAGAAAUAAUCCAAUGCAUCCAGUAAAAUAGACAUUUCCAGAAUGACAUAACUUACCAAAAUGUACAUAAAAAUGGAAAAUAUUUAUAAUUCUAUACUUGUUAAGUAUACAUGUGAUUUUAAAUUUUCCCAAAAGAAAACUAUUAGCUGGUUCAGAUGCCUCCACUGGUGACUUAUACCAAACAUUAAAGUAGGAAAUAUUAAUUUUACUCUUCCUGAAAAAUAGAGGGAAAACACCUCAACUUAAUCUUUGAAACCAUAAUAACAAGCAUAUGUGAAACAAACCUAAGAGAACUCUUGUAAGGAAAUAACAAUUGAUAUUAGAAAACUUGAAUUCAGCAACACACAGAUAUUACUGAGGAAAGGAUUAGUAAAACUAGAAUAUAGAUGUAGGGAAAUUACCCAAGUUGCAACACAGAAAAAUAAAACCAUGAAAAGUAUUAAUGCAAUACAACAUAUUACUGUCCCCAAAAGAAAAAUAGAAUGAAGAAGUUGGUUGGUAAUUUGCCAGAGCUGAUGAAAGGUACAGAUGCAAAAACACAGAGAGCACCACUUCUUCAAGGCAGAAUAAAUUUAAGAAGAAAUAUAGACUCAGUAAAUUUGUAGAAAGCCUGGGGGAAAAGGUAGCCAGAGAGAAAGAACAAAUUAUUUACAAAGACCAACACUUUGUCACCAAACUUCUUAGCAAAAAAUUGAAAGCCAGACCAUAGAAUAACAUUUUUGAAGUGUUAAUAGAAAAUAACUGUUAACUAGAAUUAAAUAUUCAGCAAACACGUCUUCCAAAAUAAAUAAAUAGAUAAAUAAAAGGAGGGAGGUCUUGAAACAAAUACAUUUUCAGGUACAGAAAAUGUGAGUUCAUUUACCAAUAACCAACUUCACUAAAAGAACAUAUGAUUUUUAUUUAAGAAGAAGAAAAAUAAUCUUACAAGGAAAGUACAAAAUACAAUUAUGAGAAAAGAAAUUGGUAAGUAUCAUACAUUAGCUAUCUAAUACUGAGUAACAAAUAAGUCCCAAAAUAGAGGGCUUAAAACAAAAGCUCUUCUUUAUCUCUUACAGUCUCUGUGAAUCAGGAAUCUGGGGGUGACUUGGGUAGAUGGAUCUAAUCUGGGGUCCCUCAUGAGGCUGCCAUCAUAUGUCACCUGAGGCUGCAGUCAAACAAAGGCAUAACUAUAGCUGGGGGAUAUAUUUCAAAGGUUACUGGUCACAUGGCUUGCAAGUUGGUUCUGGAACAAACCCCUGUAAUAGUUCUUAGGUGUCCUGACUUGGUAGCCAGUUUCUCUCAGAACCUGUGAUUCAAGACAUUAAGGUGAAAGUUAAAAUGUCUUUCUGACCUAGCCUUGGGUGGUCACACCUUAUUGCUUAUGCUAUAUCCAAUUAGUCACAUGGUCAGUUAUGAUUCAGUAAGAGAAAGGAUUACAUAAACAUGCACACAUAUAGUUACAAUCUGCAAACAUUGUCUCCCCUAACAUGGUAAUAAUGAUGUAUCAAUUUUAAAAAGAAAAGCAAAAUUAGAGGAUAAAAUUAUCACUGGGAGAGACAUGGCUGGAGUUAAAUUGUUUAAAUUCUUUAAUAUUUUUAAGAAGGAAGUAAGGAAACUAACUUACAAUUUUGUGCCAGUGGCAACACUGUAACUGUUAAAAAAAAAAUUGGGAGUUCCCGUCGUGGCGCAGUGGUUAACGAAUCCGACUAGGAACCAUGAGGUUGCGGGUUCGGUCCCUGCCCUUGCUCAGUGGGUUAACGAUCCGGCGUUGCCGUGAGCUGUGGUGUAGGUUGCAGACGCGGCUCGGAUCCCGCAUUGCUGUGGCUCUGGCGUAGGCCGGUGGCUACAGCUCCGAUUCAACCCCUAGCCUGGGAACCUCCAUAUGCCGCGGGAGCGGCCCAAGAAAUAGCAACAACAACAACAACAAAAGACAAAAAGACAAAAGACAAAAAAAAAAAAAAAAA